AUGGCCACUACAAGCCUGUGCAGUCUGUGUGGGGCGGAGGAUUCCUGGCGGCACUCGCUUCUCGAGUGCUCGAUGGCAAGAUGCGUUUGGGCAUUGGUUGAUGGGGAACUGGCGGAACACCUGUGCGAAACGACGGAGCCGAGCGCUAAGCAGUGGCUAUUCUCCAUGAUAGACACAUUAUCGCAUGCAGCCUUCGUAAAGUUAUCAGUCACCCUGUGGGCAAUUUGGUGGGCGAGGAGGAAAGCAAUACAUGACGAGGUAUUCCAGAGUCCGGCUGCUACUUAUCAAUUCAUAUCCCCUCCACCGGGUUUUAUGAAAAUCCACGUCGAUGCGAGUAUUGCAAGAAAUCAGAGUAGAGGGGCGGCCUCGGCUGUAUGCAGAGAUGCGCAUGGCAAUUAUGUGGGAAGCUCGUCGUUGGUUAUUGAGGGAGUAAGUAGCGCGGCAACGAUGGAAGCUGUUGCUUGUAGGGAGGCUCUCUCCCUAGCGGAUGAUCUGAUGUUACAUAGCUUCAUUGUGGCGUCCGACUCGAAGCAGAUUGUGAGUGAGAUCAACAAUGGCUCUAAUGGAGUUUACGGAGCGAUUUUAUCAGAGAUAAGGAAUAGGUCUCUUUUGUUUAAUUGCAGUUUUACUUUCGAAGGCAGAGCGGUUAACCGUGAUGCCGAUAGGUUAGCCAAGUUCUCAAACUCUUUAGAUCAGGGUAGACAUGUGUGGUUGAUGCAACCUCACGACCCCAUUGUAAUGCCAAUUCAUGUGGAGUUUGUUCAAUAA
rnacentral:rRNA from 1 species